rnacentral:rRNA from 1 species
GACGAACGCUGGCGGCGUGCCUAAUACAUGCAAGUAGAACGCUGAAGGCGGACCUUGCUUCUCUGGUUGAGUUGCGAACGGGUGAGUAACGCGUAGGUAACCUGCCUGGUAGUGGGGGAUAACUAUUGGAAACGAUAGCUAAUACCGCAUAAGAGUAGAUGUUGCAUGACAUUUGCUUAAAAGGUGCAAUUGCUUCACUACCAGAUGGACCUGCGUUGGAUUAGCUAGUUGGUGGGGUAACGGCUCACCUAGGCGAAGAUACAGAGCCGACAGGAGAGGGUGAUCAGCCGACCUGGGAGGGAGACAAGGCACAGAGGGCUGCGGGAGGCAGCCGUAGGGAUACUGCAGAGAUGGAUGGAAGUCUGACCAAGAAAGGCGGCGUGAGUGAGGAAUGAUGUCGGAUCGUAGAGCACUGUUGUAAGAGAAGAAAGCGCGUGGGCGUGGAACGUUCGCUGAGUGACGGUAACGGACAAGAAAGGGACGGCUAACUACGUG